GGGAACUCACCCAGGAGAGGGAAGCCUGCUAGUGUGGACCCCUCAGCCUGCGGUGUUUGAUUUUACAUAUACAACAAAUAACCAGGAAAAGGUCAAGAAAACCGGUUACUUGGGCUGUUAUAUCCAAAACUGACUACUGAAUGUCUCAGUAAUGUUGUUAUCUAUGAACCCAGAACUUUCCAGUCUGGAGCUGCAGUCUAAGCAGCACCAAGAGACCUGCUCCAGUUGUCUAGGGAUCACUUGCUGAUGUCAUGCAACCAUCUGCCCUAUAUCAGAUGCUCUGGAGAAGCGGUGAUGCUAUUACUAACCACUCCACAGACCUCUUUAUUUCAAAGAGAACCAAGCAGAGAUUCUGGGCUGACUUUGGAAUUGUUCAUUAGUUUUCAAGCUUUCUUAAAGAGCAGUUUGGCCCUGUAACAGCUAGAAAAGUCAAAAGCAAAGUUUUUGAUUAGCUUAGCCCUUCACUUGAAGCCAGUGGGAGAGAUGGGCUCGCUUUCUUUGUAACAGCAAAACACUGAGAAACUGAAACUUUUACACAUGAGUUUAGGUCUGUUUUUGAUGUUUUCUACACAAGUGUGUUAUAUUCUUAUUAGAAAAUUCCUAGAAGAGUUCAGAAGAGACUGAAGAUGUGGAAAAAAGCCACUGAGAAAGAAGCCUGACCUCCAGAGAAAAUCACUGUUGAAUUUUCGUGUCUUUAGUCUACGUUUGCACGGUGUUCCCAAAAUGGGCACCCUGCAAAUACCGUUUUGAAGCUUCCUGUUUAACACUCAGCAUCAAACUAUGGCUACUUUUUCAUAGUAACAAUUCUUCAGUAACAUAAUUCCCACCACCUCUCUAACAUAGCAUUGUAUAGAAUAAUAAUAUAACAGUUUAAAGUCA